rnacentral:misc_RNA from 1 species
AUACUAAUUGAGGGAUUCUAACACACGUACAUACUCACAAGUUUCUGUUGCACUUGUCCAUUUGGUUGUCUUACCGGUACACAUUUUUGAGCCCCUCUAGAUGACUUAUUAUCAUGGUGUAUAUUUGUACUGCUUCACUCUAGUCUUAGAUAUGUCAUGAAUUUCCCUGAUUUUGUAAUGUCCUUUAAUUAGUAGUUUGUCCAUAUGUUAUCAUUGCUCUUUGACUUUUUGCAGAUGGCUAAGG